rnacentral:misc_RNA from 1 species
GGCGGCGGCAUCCUCCCCACUGACGACACCGGCGUCCUCAUCCUCUCAGGCUCCACCGUCGGCGGCGGCUCCGCCAUCAACUGGGCAGCCUCCAUCCGCACUCCCGACCACGUGGUUCACGAAUGGCGCCACAAGCUGGGCCUCAAUCUCUUCGGCAGCGAUGCCUAUGACGAGGCUCUCGACGCCGUCUGCAGCCGCAUGGGCGUCCAGCACGAUGUGGGAGACGAAAACCUUAACAACGCUGCCCUCCGUUGGGGCUGCAAAGAGCUCGGCCAUCCAGUCUGCA